rnacentral:tRNA from 1 species
UCCCUGGUAGCUCAGAGGUUAAAGCGUCUGCCUGAAAUGCAGGAGACCAAGGUUCGAUCCCUGGGUUGGGAA